rnacentral:rRNA from 1 species
GACGGUGAAGAAGAAGAGGACGAUGACAACUAUGUGCCCCCUGAAUACGGUGAUGCUGCAACGGGGGAAGCUACUGAAGAUCAAGAGGAACCAGACGAUGUGCCCAAUGCUGCUACAAUGGGGGAAGUUGCUGAAGAUCAUGAGGAACCAGACGAUGUGCCCCAUGAUGAUGAUCUCCGCCGGGUCAUUGUCGAUGCAAGGAUGCAAUGCGAAAGUCAAAAGGAGAAGCUGAAGUUCGAUCGCAUGUUAGAGGAUCACAAAAAAGGGCUAUACCCCAAUUGCGAAGAUGGCAACACAAAGCUCGGUACCGUAUUGGAAUUGCUGCAGUGGAAGGCAGAGAAUGUUGUGCCUGACAAAGGAUUUGAGAAGCUACUGAAAAUAUUGAAGAAGAAGCUUCCAAAGGAUAACGAAUUUCCCGACAGUACAUACGCUGCAAAGAAGGUCGUAUGCCCUCUAGGAUUGGAGGUGCAGAAGAUACAUGCAUGCCCUAAUGACUGCAUCCUCUACCGCGGUGCGUACAAGGAUCUGAACGCAUGCCCGGCAUGCGGUGCAUUGAGGUAUAAGAUCAGACGAGAUGACCCUGGUGAUGUUGACAGCGAGCCCCCCCAGGAAGAGGGUUCCUGCGAAGGUGAUGUGGUAUGCUCCUAUAAUACCACGGUUGAAACGUCUGUUCAGAAACGAACAACAUACCAAGUUGAUGUGAUGGCACAGUGA